UACAGAGGUCCCAAGCGUUGUUCGGAUUCAUUGGGCGUAAAGGGUGUGUAGGUGGCGCGCUAAGUCGGGUGUGAAAUCUCGGGGCUUAACUCCGAAACUGCAUUCGAUACUGCCGUGCUUGAGGACUGGAGAGGAGACUGGAAUUUACGGUGUAGCAGUGAAAUGCGUAGAGAUCAUGAGGAAGACCAGUGGCGAAGGCGGGUCUCUGGACAGUUCCUGACACUGAGGCACGAAGGCCAGGGGAGCAAACGGG
rnacentral:rRNA from 1 species